rnacentral:rRNA from 1 species
UACGGGGGGGGUAAGCGUUGUUCGGAAUUACUGGGCGUAAAGGGCUCGUAGGCGGCCAACUAAGUCAUACGUGAAAUCCCUCAGCUUAACUGGGGAACUGCGUGUGAUACUGGAUGGCUUGGAUUUGGGAGAGGGAUGCGGAAUUCCAGGUGUAGCGGUGAAAUGCGUAGAUAUCUGGAGGAACACCAAUGGCGAAGGCAGCUCGCUGGGACGUGACUGACGCUGAGACGCGAAAGCGUGGGGAGCGAACAGG